UACAGAGGUGGCAAGCGUUGUUCGGAAUUACUGGGCGUAAAGGGCGCGUAGGCGGCCUACUAAGUCAGACGUGAAAUCCCCCGGCUUAACCUGGGAACUGCGUCUGAUACUGGAUGGCUUGAAUCCGGGAGAGGGAUGCAGAAUUCCAGGUGUAGCGGUGAAAUGCGUAGAUAUCUGGAGGAAUACCGGUGGCGAAGGCGGCAUCCUGGACAGGCAUUGACGCUGAGGAGCGAAAGCUAGGGGAGCAAACGGG
rnacentral:rRNA from 1 species